AUUGAACGCUGGCGGCAUGCUUUACACAUGCAAGUCGAACGGUAACAGGGAGCUUGCUCCGCUGACGAGUGGCGAACGGGUGAGUAAUGCAUCGGAACGUGCCGUGUAAUGGGGGAUAACGUAGCGAAAGUUACGCUAAUACCGCAUACGCCCUGAGGGGGAAAGUGGGGGACCGCAAGGCCUCACGUUAUACGAGCGGCCGAUGUCGGAUUAGCUAGUUGGUGGGGUAAAGGCCUACCAAGGCGACGAUCCGUAGCGGGUCUGAGAGGAUGAUCCGCCACACUGGGACUGAGACACGGCCCAGACUCCUACGGGAGGCAGCAGUGGGGAAUUUUGGACAAUGGGGGGCAACCCUGAUCCAGCCAUGCCGCGUGAGUGAAGAAGGCCUUCGG
rnacentral:rRNA from 1 species